rnacentral:rRNA from 1 species
UACGUAGGGGGCUAGCGUUGUCCGGAUUUAUUGGGCGUAAAGAGCGUGUAGGCGGCCGGGUAGGUCUGCUGUGAAAACUCGAGGCUCAACCUCGAGACGUCGGCGGAAACCAUCUGGCUAGAGUCCGGAAGAGGAGAGUGGAAUUCCGAGUGUAGAGGUGAAAUUCGUAGAUAUUCGGAAGAACACCAGUGGCGAAGGCGACUUACUGGACACAUAUUGACGCUGAGGUGCGAAAGCGUGGGGAGCAAACAGG